rnacentral:tRNA from 1 species
CCAACACCCAAAGCUGGAAUUCUACAUAAACUAUUCCUUG